UGUAUGANGGGACGUGAAGAAUAAGCAUCGGUAAGUGCGUGCNAGCAGNNGCGUAAGACGGGAGGAUGCAAGUGUUAUNNGGAAUCAGUGGGCGUAAAGCGUCUGUAGGUGGUGAGAUAAGUCAACUGUUAAAUCUUGAAGCUCAACUUCAAAAUCGCAGUCGAAACUAUUAGANUAGAGUAUAGUAGGGGUAAAGGGAAUUUCCAGUGGAGCGGUGAAAUGCGUAGAUAUUGGAAAGAACACCGAUGGNGAAGGCACUUUACUGGGCUAUUACUGACACUCAGAGACGAAAGCUAGGGUAUCAAAUGGGAUUAGAUACCCCAGUAGUCCUAGCUGUCAACUAUGGAUACCUAUAUCCUUGGACAGAUCUACCGGNCCCCCAUCCNCGNANNGGUGGCAGGGAUGCCNAACUCAAAGGAAUUGACGGGCUG
rnacentral:rRNA from 1 species